UUAUGGGUAGGGCAGCAUGGCUAGCUCUGGAAUGUAAUUCAAGAAUGUAUUCAUGUGGUGGCAUUUAUGUGUCAUGAAUUAAAAUUAGAGAUGGGUUAGCACAUAACACGUCUCAGUUGGUAGGGUGCUCAUGUAUGUACAAGGCCCUGAGUUCAGUCCUCAGCAUCACAUACAGAUAUGCUAGAGAAUACUGUGAUCCUGUCUUCAAAAAUAUGUAGAUAUAACUUUAUCAGUAAUGAAGAUCUGGGAUUUUUUCAGAGUCAGUUCCUUCCUUUUAAAAGGUUCAAAAUUACUCUGUGUAGAGCAUAUGUACCAGGGGUAUGGGGACAACAGCUUCUAUUGUGUCAUAGUAGCAACAAAAAUGGUUACUGCCACUUACUGGGACCCAAACCCAUGUGAAGUUGAAGUAUCUGAAUUUCAUUUCUCUAUUGGGAUAUAAUAUGUGGACUCAUGAAUUUACGUGGCUCGAUUUUCAGGAUGGACACACCCCUUUUACAUAGAGACUGCAUCACCAGCAACCUGUUAUCCCUUCCCACAUCACCUUACCAUGGGCUACUAAAGGCUUCACCUAAUGACCCUAACGGGGCUGAGGAUAGCGGUACUUGUCUAUGAAAUACCAGGUUUGCUCUCCAGCAUCUCAGACAAUACAAACACUGUCUAGAAGAUUUCACACCAUCUGGGCCUUGACUCCCUCUGAUACCUGCCAUGCUGCUCCUGCCUCAUCCACUCUUCCUCAGCCAGUAAAUCAUGUUUCUAUUUCCAACUAAGUGUUGUUCUUCCUCUCUUUGCACCUUCAAUACCCUCUGUCUGAAAAUGGGUCCCCAGAGUUCUUGAUCCCAGCCUCAGUCCAAUCUACUGUCUCUAUGGAGCUUCCAGUGGCUACUGGCAGCAAUAUUCUUGCUGUCUUUGUCAUGCUCACUGAGAUAUGAAAUGGUUUCAUGUGCACAUUUUUAGUUCGCCCCUACGAGAAUGUAAAUUUUCUAAGGGCAGGAGCCCUGGAUGACCCAUUGCUGCAUUCCAAUGGAUUCAGCAUUCUGUGUAGGAAAGCUGCUGCACAGAACGAGUGUGACGUCAUAGUCACUGGUCAGGGGAGAGUCGAGGGACACUCUUCACCAUGAAACUGAACUUGGGUAUUUAACUUGAAUGUGGUAAAGACAAGCUGGAGGAAGGGGUUAGUCAGUAAAGUUUUUGCUUGGUAAUCAUGGUAAUCAAACCUGAGUUUGAUCUCCAGAAUCUAGAAAAAGAAUAACCUAGGUGUUAUGGACACUCUUGUAAUAUUAGCAGGUUCAUUCUCCAGUCAUCCUAUUAGUAAGCUAUAGGCUAGUAGCGGAUCCUGUCUUUAUGAGGAGUGGGAUAAUUUGAAGAGCAACAGCUGAGGCUGUCCUGUGGCUUACACAUUAACACACACACACACACACACACACACACACACACACACACAGGCAUGCAACUCACACAUAAACAUGGAAAGGGUGUUUAAUCAGUGGAUACAAAGCUACUUAGUCCCUACCACAAAGACUUCUGUAUAAUCGCCAGAGGCUUCUCAGGGGAGGUGUCUUUAACCAGGUUCUGGCAUUAAGAUACAUCUGGAGAGACUGAGAACUGGCCUUUGAGUCUGUGACUGGACAUGACACACUGUGUGGACCUGGGAAUGGGGGCAUCUGACUGCAGGUUUUUCCUGGCAAAGCAGCUGCUGCUAGAAUGUAGAUGGCGGUCCCCUUUCCCUCCUUACAUCUAUUCCAAGAGCCAGGGAUUUGCUGGAGCUCAGCCAGAUGUCACUCUGAGCUUAUGCUUCCCCAGCCUAGGUGGCAUGUUUUCUGAAUUUUGCCUCUAGGCUUUCAAGAGGGAAAGGCACUUUCUCAGGCAUUUGGGGAGACAGAUGCCUUGGGGAGAAUGCAAAGGGGACAUAUUAAUAGUGCCGUUUAGGUUAUCUUCUGCAGAUGUGUGACAGCCUGCCAGAUGCCAGCAUACAAAUGAGACCAUAGCACUCACCCUUAAAGCUGCCAUAUGUAAAAUAAUCAUUGUCAUCAUGUGGGAGACAAUAACUGAUAUCUAUAUAAUGCCUUUCAGCCAGACUGCCCCAGGCAGGAAGGCUAUGCAAACUAGGGCCAUUUGCCUCUCAGCACUGAAGUGUAGCCACCUCUGGAGAAGGUAGCAGCCCUUUCCACAACAGACUCAAAAAAGUAUCAAAAACAACCCUUUUCUUAAAUGCCUCCUAUUUAGUGCAUUCUUCUGUUGAGCCUUUUAUCUACCAAGGAGACUGGAGCAUGGCUUGGGACUCCUGCAAAGCAUGGUGUGAGAACCACUGAGGUAGGAAGCAAGAUGCUUCAAAGAAGUGUAUGGACUGUUUUCAUAGUUAUGUGUUAGUUAUACCGAGUGGUAGAAAAUACAAGCCCCGUGAGUUCACAGACACUAAAAUCUCCACUUAAAUUGCAAACCGUAUAUCAAGAAUUAACUCAGGAAGACAAGUAGAAAGGAAGUCUCGUUGGGCAAAAGGAAGCCCAACACUAACUUCAUAGCAGACAGCUUAGGAUUUUGAGUCUAACAAGAAUAGAAUUCUCACCCAGGCCCAUGACUUUCUGACUGAGAACAUUCUCACAGUAUGCUUUUUUACCCACCAAGACCCCAGACACCCUCUCUCUCUCUCUCUCUCUCUCUCUCUCUCUCUCUCUCUCUCUCUCUCUCUCUCUCUCACACACACACACACACACACACACACACACACACACACACACCACACCUUAGAGAAAUAGCUUCCUAAGUAAAUGAUCAGUAGAAUAAGGGCUGAUAAAAUCAUGCUUCUUCUCAAAAGGAUAAAAACCUGAAAAGUCAGUCGGGGGGUUGUGCUCUAUUGAACUCACUGCCUGGAUCGUAUCUCAAUUCUAGACUCCUCCUUUGGCUCUAGAGUUGGACGAUAUUAUAAAAGGUCACUUACUAUAUUCUAAUAAGCAUAUAGACACAAGAGUCUCUGAGGUUCAGGGUUUCACAUUUAGCACCAGAGAGCAGCAUACCAAUCAGCCUACCUUUCGUUCCUGCAUCCAAAGCCAACCAGAUCUCCUGUAUAACAGGUCCUAUCUUAAAGUGAGCAAAACUGUCUCAAUGCAUCAGGACCAUAAUAGCACAUUUCUAGGUUAAUAAUCUUCAUAUAAAGUGCCAAGCACACUGCACUAAGCCUGAUGAUGACAGAAAAGAGAAAAGGAAAUGAAAUGCACUUUCAGAAUGACAUGCUACAAAUAACAACACAUGUGGGUGUUUCCACGAGACAAGCUCUUUAAGGAAAAAAACAUCUAGUUAUUCAAAUGUAUUUUUAAAGACCCGUUUGGACCAGGAAAUAAAGGAAUUUUUGCUGAGGGACUGAUUAUUGAAUUGAGAUAUUCAGAGGAAGACUAACCUAACUGUUGCUAACUUUGGCACAGAGAUGUGUUUAGGUGAGGCUGCUCCUUGUAUAAGUUCAGUCUCUGGAUGCCUCUAAAACAAACAAAAACCUGGAUAUCUUUACCUUGCUCCUAGCAUCCUUGUAAGGUGGCUUCUUUUGUCACUUUGUGCCAUCCAGGGUGCAAAUAGUCUCUAAUCUUUGAUUUCUAGUUUCUAGUACAGCCCUGGGUAGCACCAUGGAUUAGUUGCCUCCCGUUACACUUAUGGAUCAGUUUCAGACAAGCCUGACACGGUUGCCUGAUACAUACUUCUUAAGAUGUCUUUUAUCCCACCGUGGGGGCAAUGGCACAAAUUAAUUUUAGGCUGGCAUUUCAUAUAAAAUAAUAUCACACCUCGUCUUCUUUCUGGUGCUGGGAUCAAGUUCAUGCAUGCCAGGCAAAUGCUUUACCAUGAACCAGAUCCCUGGCCCUGAAGAGCAUCCCUCUGAUGACAAGCACAGCACAUAGCCUGCAUGUACUGAGACAUCACCCCAAAACCCAUUGAAAACAGCCCUGAAAGGUUUUUCCUUCGUGGGUUUUCUGCUCUUGAAAAUGAAAGGAAGCUUAGAAGAGACCCCUGAAUCACAAGCAAAAACAAUAAACAUUCCUGAGCACUUGCUAUGUAAACUGAGGUGACAUCAGGAGCAGAGCUCCUUCCCCAUGGCAUGGCCCUGUAAUAUGGGGAAGUGAGUAGGAUAGGGUUCAGUUGGAGAGGUGGAAUCUAGGUGAUUGCAGAAAAAAAUAUUUGAGCUGGGAAAGAGAGAUUAGCAACCUAGUGAUGGACCCAUGCCCAUGAGUUGGCCUUGUAGGUGUAUGACUAUCCAGGCAAGAACAAUCUUCAAGACACACACACACACACACACACACACACACACACACACACACACACACACACACACACACACCAGACCUUAAAGGACAAGCAGGUAGAAGCCCACAGACAUGAGUAGAAGAUUAUCACAGGCAGUAGUCGGGAGGGAAGGCUGAGGAGCAAUCAACAGAAACUGUAAAUUUGUCAGCUCUCAGGGAAAUGUCUAGGCUUUCUCUUAACAGGUCUCCUAUAACUCAGGUUGGCCUUGCUCUAUAGCCAAGGACAGUCUUGAGCUUCUGAUCCUCUUACCUUUACCUCCCUGUGCUGCCACUCUUAGGGCAUGCAGGGCUAAAACUUUGUGUACAUUAGACAUUCUACCAAAUGAGCCCUAUCCCUAGAUGAGGCCUGGGCUAUUAAAUGUCCUUCAGUUAGGCCAUUCAUGGUGGUGCACACCUUCAAUCCCAGCAUCUGAAGGCAGAGGCAAGAGGAUGUCUAAGUUUGAAGCCAGCUUUGUCUACAAAGUGAGUUCCAAGAUAGCCAGGACUACAUAGAAAAACCCUGUCUCAAGAAUAAAGAAAUAAAUAAAUGCCCUCCAGACAGACCCACCCUAAAUGUGAUCCUUUUUUAUUAAUAUAGAUUCAGCUGAUGAGGGGGUCUUUAACUGUAUCUGUAAAAUCCCUCCAUGACUACACUGAGAUUACAGAUAUAUGCUAUCUCUUGGAGUUUCUUUAUCUAUUCUAUUCUAUUCUAUUCUAUUCUAUUCUAUUCUAUUCUAUUCUAUUCUAUUCUAUUCUAUUCUAUUCCAUUCCAUUCCAUUCCAUUCCAUUCCAUUCCAUUCCAUUCCAUUCCAUUCCAUUGAGACAAGGUCUCACUGUAUAGCCUAGGGUGGCUUGGAACUCACCACCUAAGUGCUUUGGCCUCCUGGGAGCCAUGAUUACUGGUAUAUGGUACCACACCCCGAAACUCUCCCCUUCUUUAUACAUGAGUUUCCAUGUUCAAGAUCAUCUGAGAUUUUAUAACUGGUUCUAUUUGAGGAUUAAAUUUUUUGCAGCCUUUCUCCAAAUUAUAGUAAAUCUACAUUCAACCAUGCCAACACAAUCAAA